rnacentral:rRNA from 1 species
GAGUAACGCGUGAGGAACCUGCCUCAAAGAGGGGGACAACAGUUGGAAACGACUGCUAAUACCGCAUAAGCCCACGGGUCGGCAUCGACCAGAGGGAAAAGGAGCAAUCCGCUUUGAGAUGGCCUCGCGUCCGAUUAGCUAGUUGGUGAGGUAACGGCCCACCAAGGCAACGAUCGGUAGCCGGACUGAGAGGUUGAACGGCCACAUUGGGACUGAGACACGGCCCAGACUCCUACGGGAGGCAGCAGUGGGGAAUAUUGCACAAUGGGGGAAACCCUGAUGCAGCGACGCCGCGUGGAGGAAGAAGGUCUUCGGAUUGUAAACUCCUGUUGUUGAGGAAGAUAAUGACGGUACUCAACAAGGAAGUGACGGCUAACUACGUGCCAGCAGCCGCGGUAAAACGUAGGUCACAAGCGUUGUCCGGAAUUACUGGGUGUAAAGGGAGCGCAGGCGGGAAGACAAGUUGGAAGUGAAAUCUAUGGGCUCAACCCAUAAACUGCUUUCAAAACUGCUUUUCUUGAGUAGUGCAGAGGUAGGCGGAAUUCCCGGUGUAGCGGUGGAAUGCGUAGAUAUCGGGAGGAACACCAGUGGCGAAGGCGGCCUACUGGGCACCAACUGACGCUGAGGCUCGAAAGUGUGGGUAGCAAACAGGAUUAGAUACCCUGGUAGUCCACACCGUAAACGAUGAUUACUAGGUGUUGGAGGAUUGACCCCUUCAGUGCCGCAG